UACGAAGGGGGCUAGCGUUGUUCGGAAUUACUGGGCGUAAAGGGCGCGUAGGCUGCCUUCUAAGUCGAACGUGAAAUCCCCGGGCUCAACCCGGGAACUGCGUCCGAUACUGGAAGGCUUGAAUCCGGGAGAGGGAUGCGGAAUUCCAGGUGUAGCGGUGAAAUGCGUAGAUAUCUGGAGGAACACCGGUGGCGAAGGCGGCAUCCUGGACCGGCAUUGACGCUGAGGCGCGAAAGCCAGGGGAGCAAACGGG
rnacentral:rRNA from 1 species